GAAGUGGCAUCUAUGCACCAGAUUUUCCAAGAACAUUUCAUUACGAUAUGAAGACCCAGGAGGGAAAACUCCUGUCCCAGCUGGAUUCCCAUCCAUACCGCCCCGUAGUGAAUUGGACUUCUUAUGCCAGCAGUAUAGAAGCCCUCUGGACAGGGAACCGGGAAUUUAAAGGAACUGUCUUUUUUGACGAAUACAUCUUUGUGGAGCUGAAAGGAAUCACAGGAAAUUACACAGUUUGCCAGAAAGAUCUUUGCUGUCAUCUAAGCUACCAGAUGUCUGAGAAGAGGUCAGAUGAAGUUUAUGCCUUAGGAGCAUUUGAUGGGCUGCAUACUGCUGAAGGACGCUAUCAUCUACAGGCCUAAGGGAAGGCGCAGCAAAAGAAGAAAGGACACAGACAAUAAGAGGAAUCAAUACUCUAAGGCAUCAGAGGAAAGAGAAAAAAUAGUAUCACCAACCAAGUACAAAAUUGAAAAUUUGUUAAAAUUAUGUUGUCAAACAAUAUUUUUUACCAUAUAAAUAUCAUCAUGUAUUAUAAUGGCAUGUUAUAUUUUACAUUAGAUCUGUGUAUAUAUGGUAUUUUAUUAUUACCAUCUAAAUUUUAAAAAAUAAAAAAUAGGUGAUUUUUUGUGAUUAUAUUUUUAUUAUUUAUUUAUUUAUUUUAUUUUUUUGAGGUACCAGGGAUCGAACUCUGGACCUUGUGCUUGCGAGGCAGGUGCAGCUCCACUGAGCUAAAUCCCUGAUUAUAUUUUUAAGUAAAAAUAAAAGCUAUCAAGUGACAUAGCAGUUUCUUGAGUCCUCCUCUUUCCUUUCUCUCAGUAUUGCCCUAUUUGUCUGCCCCCUUUCCCCAGUCAUGGGCCCCAUGGAGGAGAG
rnacentral:lncRNA from 1 species